rnacentral:tRNA from 1 species
GCAAGCGUGGCGUAGUGGUUUGAGCAUUGGACUAUGGCUCUGGAGACCAGGAUUCGAUUCCCAGUUCAGCCA